ensembl:lncRNA
AGAAACCCUCCAGGUUUAGCUAGAACAAAUCCGCUGAAUGGUACUCUCCAUUAAGUGGAGGCCGGAGACCUGCUGCUGACCUCUUUGGUCUCUGCAGAGGCCCAGUCUUGCCUUUCAGCAAUAACGCAGGAUAGUUAGACAUUUAGUGCUACCUAAUUGGGGUGGUUUAACAUAUGGAGUGAGAUUCCGACCUCAUUACCAGGUUAACUAUUAACUUUGCACUCCCUGAAAUGAUUUGCCUUUUCUCUCCUAUUAUUUACUUACAUUCUUCUAAAUUUAAUUCAAAGGCCUGAUUUCGAAUUCAAGGCCUUAAGCACAUGCGUACACACACACACACACACACAUACACACACACUCUGAAGUAUCCCUUUGCCUUCUUUUAUUGGUGAAAUAAAUACUAAGCAGAACUCUCCCCUCCAUUCUGAUGGGUUCCUUCUGGACCGCAGGGGCACUUGGGUCAUUUUCACGCUGCUUAAGAACAAUUCGGUUAUGCCAUCUUUUUGUUAACCUUUCGUAUUGCUAUUCAUUUACUGUUAUUUAGAACCAUGAACAUGAUUCACAACUAAUUGCUAGUUUUCUCGCCCAAUUAACUAGGUUUUUGGAUUCACAGAAAGUCCAUCUGGAUGUUUUUCCCCCUAUUUUUGUUUCAUUUAUGUUUAUCACUUACCCAUACGCUGUUAUCCGUGUAAAAAAAGGAUCAGCCUGAGAACUUUCCAGAGAACAUCCUUUCAGACCUCACAGUUCAGCAUUUACUGAAUGGGAAACUAGACGAGCUCAAGUUUCAGCCAAAAGGAACCCUAGUUACGCUAUUUCAAGUCACCACAACACAGUUGUAAUUUGUGCUUUGGCCGGGUUGGCCUGCUUUUACAUUCUCCUAUUCAUUAAACAGUGAUAAUGACUACAGUAACCAUCAAACACACCCCUUCUUUCAAGGAAGAUCAAUAGGAGUCUUGCUAUAGGGUUGACAGCUGUGGGAUGUGCUCAUGUUUUGGUAAAUUCUCAAAAAUCACAAAAAUCACAUGAGUCAUGCUGGAUUAAUUGGAUUUUCUUCUUCCGAUNNNNNNNNNNNNCCGAUCUAUUUAAAACUUGCAAAAGAAACAUCUUGGGCUCUCUCUUGGGGGGAGGGAGAACCAGCGAUGGCUAAGCGCUUUGCUGAAUUUUGCUUACAGUUAUACUCCUACAGAAUGGCUUUCUCAGCUGUGGAUGAAUCACAUGAGAAGAAUUACACCCCGCAAAUCUUUUAUCUGAGACUCUGUUAGUUAUGUUUUGUAAUGACACUGACAUGUCAAUAAUACUGUACAGUACUGGGGGGAAAAGUUUAAACACAAAAUGCUAGUGACAUUAACAUAUUAAGCGUAUCAAAUGAUCACUUAGUGACUUUCAAUAGAACACUAGAGGUUUGGGGAAAAAAAUUCUCUACUUUUUUUUUUUUUUUUUUUGUCUUUUUAGGGCCACAUCCAAAGCAUAUGGAGUUCCCAGGCUAGGGGUCGAAUGGGAGCUGCAGCUGAUGGCCUACGCCACAGCCACAGCAACACCAGAUCUGAGCCUCGUCUGUGACCUACACCAUAGGUCACAGUAAUGCCAGAUCCUUAACCCACCAAGCGAGGCCAGGGAUCAAACCCUCAUCCUCAUGGAUACCAGUUGAGUUUGUUAUCACUGAGCCAAGUGGGAACUCCCAGACAAUGUUUUUACAUCACUCCCAAUCCAUCUAAUUUUGAGGCCACCUCCCAAGGAAUUUCUAUUAGCUGAUUUUAUUUAAUAUAAAAAACCCCCUCAACAUGACUUUGAAAAUGUUAGACUUGCAUCGCAUUGUCCCAGAUUGUCCCUUUGCACUUGCCGUUCUUUUAGAGUGAGAAGAGGCUGUCCCUGGAGUGAGAACAGGGGGAGGUUCUGGCUCAGAAACUCACAACCACAGUCUCUGCUUUCCUAAGGACCAUUGUUCCUUUUCCUCCUCGGCCAGCAUCCACACAAGUCAGGUGUGAGCAGACAUACCUGUGAUAAGGAUCUCACAACCCUUCCAGAUUUAUAUCUUGAUAUUAUGUAACUCCUAUAGAAGAGGAUACAGAGUUUGGUGUUUAUCCACACUGUUUACAGAUGUUUUUGUGUUUCGGCUCUGUUCAUAAAGACAUAUAUUAAAGUGAGUCAUUUUCUGUAUUAUCCUCUUUGUCCUAGGAUAAGAGGAUCUAUUCAUGAUCUAUGCAGUUAUGCACUUUUUUUUUUACCAAUCUAUAGAUGUGUGCAUGUAUGAAAAAAUACAUGACAAUGAAAGAAUUGAAUUUCAUAUAGGUUAUCAGUUUAGUUGCCACUUUACGUUUUGGAAACAUCUGGGCACAUGUAUUACACAGUAUUUCCAAUCAACGUGGUAGCGUACUUUAAAAUCCACAGGCUGCUGAGAGCCCAGAUUCACCCGCCGGGAGUGCCUCACCUAAUGAAAGUCUCCAUUCAGCUUUCAACGUCGGCAGCUACUUGCAAAGUUGCACAGAAAGAGCUCUUGGAGUUCCCAUCAUGGCUCAGCAGGUUAAGAACCCAGCAUCGUGUCCGUGAGGAUACAGCUUUGAUCGCUGGCCUUGUUCAGUGGGUUAAGGACCCGAUGUUGCUGUGGCUGUGGUGUAGGCCAGCAGCUGC